rnacentral:rRNA from 1 species
CACGUAGGGGGCAAGCGUUGUCCGGAUUAUUGGCGUAAAGAGCGUGUAGGCGGUUAGGUAGGUCCGUUGUGAAAACUCGAGGCUCAACCUCGAGACGUCGGUUGAACCGUCUGGCUAGAGUCCGGAAGAGGAGAGUGGAAUUCCCGGUGUAGCGGUGAAAUGCGCAGAUAUCGGGAAGAACACCCGUGGCGAAGGCGGCUCUCUGGGACGGUACUGACGCUGAGACGCGAAAGCGUGGGAGCGAACAGG